rfam:Schistosoma haematobium scaffold278_4, whole genome shotgun sequence.
AUUCAGCUGAAGAGUCCUAAAUAGGAUGAAACGAGCUCGAAACUGAAU